rnacentral:rRNA from 1 species
GACGAACGCUGGCGGCGUGCUUAACACAUGCAAGUCGAACGGAAAGGCCCAGCUUGCUGGGUACUCGAGUGGCGAACGGGUGAGUAACACGUGGGUGAUCUGCCCUGCACUCUGAGAUAAGCCUGGGAAACUGGGUCUAAUACCGGAUAUGACCAACUGUCGCAUGGUGGUUGGUGGAAAGCUUUUGCGGUGUGGGAUGGGCCCGCGGCCUAUCAGCUUGUUGGUGGGGUAAUGGCCUACCAAGGCGACGACGGGUAGCCGACCUGGGAGGGUGAUCGGCCACACUGGGAGUGAGACACGGCCCAGACUCCUACGGGAGGCAGCAGUGGGGAAUAUUGCACAAUGGACGAAAGUCUGAUGCAGCAACGCCGCGUGGAGGAUGACGGUCUUUGGAUUGUAAACUCCUUUUCUCAGGGAAGAGAAUGGACGGUACCUGAGGAAUAAGUCACGGCUAACUACGUGCCAGCAGCCGCGGUAAGAC